rnacentral:tRNA from 1 species
AAAGAAUUAGUUAAAUAUACUAUAACUUAAAUAUGUCAAAUUUAAAUAAUUACAAAAGUAAUAUUCUUUU